CGGUAGGAGCCCCACAGCGUCAGGGCGGGGAGGGCGCUUGGAGAUCCCCCGGGUCGGCCCCCUCCGCACCCCGAUCGACUGAGGCCCGGAGAGUUCAGGAACCGGCUCGGGAGACCUCAGCGCCCGAACUCGGAGUUUUCGGACUUUUCAGGCCUCUGCCAAGGGCUUGGACUCGCAGGUGAAAGGACGGGCUCAUCUCACUUUUUUGUCCUGAGAGGAUGGUGGAAAGCUGCACUUGAAGUCCAACUCUGUCCUGGGGGAAUAAUUAUGUUCCCUGUCUUGGGAGCCUUUCUUCAGGGAGCUUGAUGGUUCCAACCCACCCAGGAGCCUGGGACAUCUGUGCCCCUGGGCAAUCCCCUGCAGUUUCCUGAUUCCAAGAUGAGGGGGUAGAAUCCGAAGAUCUCCAAGGCCUUGAUGAGUGCUACCAGUCUGCAAAUUCCCAAGCCAAGUUCUUCAAUGAAUCAAAUUUCCUCCAGUAGCCAUUUCUACCAAAGGAGCAACUGUUUUUCCUUCCCACUGACAUGGCUAUGUAUUCGAACUGGAUAUAGGUGAGAGGCAUUUUUGUCCUAGCUUCUCGGGCCCCUCCAAGGAGCUCCAAGAGGCUUAAGGAUCCCAGCCAUGUUGGGAUAAAAAUACCCAAUCAAUCAAUAAACAUUUUAUUUAAAAAUGAUUUAUUUAAAAAAUCACACAAUUUGAGAGCAAAUACAGAAGAUAUGAAUUAGCAAAACGAACAAAAUUAAAAUCUCAUACAAUCGCAGGACACUGGGACCUGAAGUCUUGGAGAGGAUGUAAUCACUAAGUCAUCCCAAGGAAGAGUGGGAUGCCUACAAGAGAGGGAUGCCUACAAGAGAGGGAUGCCUAAAUUGGUUACCCCUAAGCCCACCGACUUUUAAGGCAUGUGUAAGUGAGUGGGAACCUGCAAAAAGACUGGAAGGAGCAGCCAGAGAGGUAGGAAGAAAACCAGGAGUGCCUGUUGUCACGGAAGCUGAGGGCAAGGAGGACAGUGGUUGGGAGAAUCUGAUGCAGCAGCUCCAAGGACCAUGGCCCCAGGAACUAGGCACAAGUGACAGGAGACACUUGCUAUGUCUAAACCCAGUGCACCCUCAGCCCGGCCUCGCCUUUUCAAGGACGGCUAGCACAGGCCAUCAUCCUGGCCCACGAUGAAGGUGAGCAUCAAACUCCAAUUUCUGAAGAGGAAACUGAAGACCAGAGAGGGGAGGUAAACAUCCCAAAGUCACCAGCAAGUCAGUGGGAGACACAACUUUAACCCUAGUUUUGACUGGCAGUCUGUGGGCAUCGAGGCCACCAUUCCAUGUACCUAAUGUGUGUCUGGCAGUGUUCCAGGCCUCACCUGCAUCAUUUCUAAUCCUCUCAACCAGAGGAUCAGAGAGGUGGCGUUUUUACCCCUAGUACACAGAGGAGGCGCUUGGGGUUCAGAGGCACGUGUGGAACUAGACCGACGCCACUCACCCCAGCAGGUGGCCAAGCGGGAUGGGAGCGCGGGUCUCCCCAUCCCCAGCGGUGACGGGCGGCGGCUCUUUCCUGAAGAAUGGGGCGGCGUCCGCAACGGGAACCGCUGGAGGCGCUCCCCGGGACCCUGGCCCGCCCUCGCCCCCGCGCAUGCCUGGCCGCUGA
rnacentral:lncRNA from 1 species